rnacentral:rRNA from 1 species
UCAAACGAGAGUUUGAUCCCGGCUCAGAAUCAACGCUGGCGGCGCGCUUAACACAUGCAAGUCGAGCGAGAAAGGGGAGCAAUCCCUGAGUACAGCGGCGUACGGGUGAGUAACACGUGGAUCAUCUACCUUCGAGUGGGGGAUAACCCUGGGAAACCGGGGCUAAUACCGCAUGAGCCUGUGAAGGGAAAGCAGCAAUGCGCUCGAAGAGGAGUCCGCGGCCGAUUAGCUAGUUGGUGAGGUAACGGCCCACCAAGGCGAUGAUCGGUAGCCGGCCUGAGAGGGCACACGGCCACACUGGCACUGAAACACGGGCCAGACUCCUACGGGAGGCAGCAGUGGGGAAUCUUGC